CAAAGACCAUGUAAAGCAACCUCGUACCUAGGGUUUUAUCUAGUAAAGUCCGUAAUGUAAACAAACGCUUUGUUUACAUUUUGAACUCAGUGCUACAGUUGUAAAAUAUGAUUAGAUAUAUAUUUAUAUGUACUGAAUUUUUAACACUCUUCUGGUUCGCUAUGCUUGUAAAUGAAUACAGACUAGAGAUUCAUUCCAACGGUUGAGUCCCGACCAUUGGAAUGUAAGCCUGCGCAGAACGUAUGCGCAGAACGGACUUUACAUGGUCUUGAAUUAUACUAGUGUGUUUGCGCGAAAAAAUCUGUUGAUUAUUUCGUCUAGGAACAGUGUGAAAAUUGGUUGAAUUUGGUAUAUGUGCUUUGUAAUGGGUGAAAAUGAUAAGAAUCGCAUGCGUAAUGUGUUGAUUUUUGGUUAGGGAAUGUAAAAAAUGAAAUUUACUUACUGAUAGAUGUCGACUGGUGGAGCGUACUUUGCGUGUAGGCAAGGCGAAAAGGAAUUCUUAGCAGGCGAGGGGUUCUAAAAUUACGUCGGGGGGAUUACUUAUGUCAAGCUUUGAUCACUUGUGGGUUCAACGGUUCAACAGAGUGCUGAGGCAUAGAAUAAAGAUCCAUAUAGAAGGGCCACUCAGCGGUGCAACAUGUCCUCAUUUUUUUAUGCAAAAAUAUGCAGUUUACUGGCCAGAAGGCGGAGCAGCCAGCCAAUACAGCGCGUUUAUUGGCCAGAAAAUGUCAUUGACUGGCUAGGAAAAUGGCGGCCAACAUGCGUAAUGCGACAUGCGCGAGGACAGAAACUUCAAAGCUUCCGACGUAAGUGGCCCUUCUAUAUGGAUCUUUAUUCUAUGGCUGAGGCAUUCAA